rnacentral:rRNA from 1 species
AACGAACGCUGGCGGCGUGCUUAACACAUGCAAGUCGAGCGGUAAGGCCCUUUCGGGGGUACACGAGCGGCGAACGGGUGAGUAACACGUGGGUGACCUGCCCUCAGCUCUGGGAUAAGCCUGGGAAACCGGGUCUAAUACCGGAUAUGACUCCAUGACGCAUGUUGUGGGGUGGAAAGCCUUGUGCGGCUGAGGAUGGGCCCGCGGCCUAUCAGCUUGUUGGUGGGGUGAUGGCCUACCAAGGCGACGACGGGUAGCCGGCCUGAGAGGCGACCGGCCACACUGGGACUGAGACACGGCCCAGACUCCUACGGGAGGCAGCAGUGGGGAAUCUUGCGCAAUGGGCGAAAGCCUGACGCAGCGACGCCGCGUGAGGGAUGACGG